AGCUCCAAUAGCGUAUAUUAAAGUUGUUGCAGUUAAAAAGCUCGUAGUUGGAUCUGUGGAGUGUCCUGAGGUCACUAUUGUACUAUCGGGACGCUCCAUUAUUGGGUGGAAGCUGUGUGGCAUUAGGUUGUUGUGCAGUCGACACUCAUCUUUUACUGUGAGAAAAUUAGAGCGUUCAAAGCAAGCUUAUGCUGUUGAAUAUGUUAGCAUGGAAUAAUAUGAUAGGACCUCGGUACUAUUUUGUUGGUUUGUGCACCUAGGUAAUGAUUAAUAGGGAUUGUUGGGGGUAUUCGUAUUCCACUGUCAGAGGUGAAAUUCUUGGAUUUUUGGAAGACGCACUACUGCGAAAGCAUUUACCAAGGAUGUUU
rnacentral:rRNA from 1 species